GCUUCGUGGAAGCGUCGCGGUUCUUCUCGAGGUGGAGGUGAGGCGCGGGCGGGCUGGCUUGCCGGGAUUUUGGGAGAAGGAGCAGGGGCGGCUGACGGCUCGGUGGUGAAGAAAGGAGGAAGCAGAGACGGCUCGACGAGGAAACGGCGCAGGACUUCUGCUUCGCCGGCCGCCGCCGCCGCGUGAAAUGGCACGCCCACCAACUGGGAUGCCGGCUCCCUCCGCUCCCCCUGCUCCGACGCCCCACGCGGCCUGCUCCUCCCGCUCCCCAUGCGACCAUCUCGCGUCGCCGGUUUGACGCCCCGUGCCGUCGGCUUCCUUCUCUCCCCCUGUGACCACCCCAGGCUGCUCCUCCAAGGGCAGGUCGCUGCGGACACUGGGUGCUCCAGUGCUGGGCGGUGACGCCUGCCCUCGUGCUCGUCUACCUCUCAAACUCUCUCGUUGACGCAUGCCCGCCUGCUGCUGAAAGGACCACCCCCAAAUCCGGAGACCCCUUGCAGCCUUGCGUCGCGGCGGAUUCCUGACUCACAACCAUCCAUGGCGACGGUUUCUAUGGAGGCAUCAGGAAGCCCUCGUCCGCGCGCCGCCGGAGUUCCAUCCCAUCCCUUUCCCUCGACAACGGCGGCAGGAGAGCCGAACCUUGCGAAGUGUUUCCUGUGCUCGUUUUUUGACAGCACAAGUGCCUCCCAUGGGGAGUGAAUCCUUGCUGACCGUCACAUUUGAAUGAGUGGUGGAUAUAUGGGAGAAGGGCACGCCGUGCCCUGCCUCUGGCAGGGCACUGGAUCUCAGUCCGGGAAGAAAUAGAGGGAGAGGGAGAAAUCCAAUGAAAAAAAAGAAAAAGAAAAUGGUAGUUACACAAAAUUCUUAAAAUAUAGAAUAUGUGAGAUCUUUUAGGGAAACUGCUGGAGUUGGACAAUUUUUAGGAGAGAAAAUUUUUAGAGGAGUCCCUCAUUUUGAGAUAUAGGGGACAUAUUUUAGGGGAACUGCUGGACUUGCCCUAAGAGCAAAUCCAGCAACAGCUCCCCAAUAACCUCCCCGAUAACGUUUUUAGGGGAGAAAACGCAAAAACGUGUGUCCAGCAGUUCCCCUAUCGAGCCCCCGAAAAAUCGGCGUCCCCGAUCCGUCCCUCCUUCUCCCCUACAGAUCGGGGAGGUGGAGGCCUCCCCUAUCCAUGCCCGGGGCAAUCCCUCUCGCCAAAACGAGUCUGGCACCCUCCUUCUCCUUUCUCCCGCCACGAGCCGGCCGGAGCCAGACGCGAGGAGUGGCGACCAGAGGUGGGCGCGGCGGCCAGCAAGGUGGUCUGCUCGGUAGGGAAGAGGGAGAGGAAGAGGCGCGGGCCGCGGGGGGUGUUUUGUGGAGAAGAAAGGAGAGGAAGCAGAGAGGGAGAGGAGAAAGAGAUACUAAGAAAUAGGUGGAGAGGGAGAAAGAGAUGAGAAAUAGAAGGAGAGGGGAAGAAAUAGGAAAUUGUUGCAAUUUUGCUAGAUGUGCAUUAGGAGAGUAACAUUGCAUUAUGUAGAAAAUGAUACAGGCACUGCUUACACCCCACCAUAAUUUAAAAACAUAUUAGAGAUCUCAUACACUACAUUAUUACUACCACUUAUGAAAGCUACAUCUCUCCGCGGAUCUGCCACAAGUGCUCAACUAGAUCAACUUGACGCUGACAAUGAACUUUUUGUUUCGAAUAGCGCUGUGAGCUUGAAGAAACUGAGUCAAUGUAGCUACCUCUUCACGAGAAGGAUGAUACAAGCUGUCAUGAUUUCUCCGAGUGUUUCCAAAUCCCAAUACCUUACUGGUCCACGUACAAUGGCAAAACGAGCUUGCAGAACUCUAAAGGCUCGUUCAACAUCCUUCCGACAAGCUUCUUGGCAUCGUGCAAAAUGUUUAUUUUUUUCAGUUGUUGGAUUUGGAAUUGUCUUCACGAAUGUGGCCCAUCGCGGAUAUAUGCCAUCUGCAAGGUAAUACCUCAUGUUGUAGUUGCGACCAUUGAUGGUAUAAUUCACUUCUGGAGCAUGCCCUUCAGCUAGAUUCGCAAACACAGGUGAACGGUGAAGAACAUUUAUAUCAUUAUGGGAUCCUGGUAAA